GGAGCUACACAACUUGUCAGUAGCGACAGGUGGGUGGAGCUACACUACAACUAACCGGUAGGGACAGGUGGGUGGAGCUACACUACAACUAGCCGGUAGGGACAGGUGGGUGGAGCUACACUACAACUCGCCGGUAGGGACAGGUGGGUGGAGCUACACUACAACUAGUCGGUAGGGACAGGUGGGUGGAGCUACACUACAACUAGCCGGUAGGGACAGGUGGGUGGAGCUACACUACAACUAGCCGGUAGGGACAGGUGGGUGGAGCUACACUACAACUAGCCGGUAGGGACAGGUGGGUGGAGCUACACUACAGCUAGCCGGUAGGGACAGGUGGGUGGAGCUACACUACAGCUAGCCGGUAGGGACAGGUGGGUGGAGCUACACUACAACUAGCCGGUAGGGACAGGUGGGUGGAGCUACACUAACACUAGCCGGUAGGGACAGGUGGGUGGAGCUAUACUUUUCUAAGUCACCUUGAUUUACCACCUGUGUGUUUUAUUAGCUUCUUUAUGAAAAUAUUUAGUCAACUCCACAUCAGUCGAAAAAAGUAGGGGAUAAAGCAGCACACAAGUAGACUGCAAAUGCAUGCUGGGUAGGCACACUCUGAGCUCGUGAAGUGAGCGAUAUUGGAGCGAGCGAGAAGGCCGACACUCCAGCCUUUGGGGAAACUCGCUUUUCUUGCUUUGCUCUGCUCACAUACUCUGGUGUUAUUUACAGUACUUGCCUGUUAUCUACAGUACUUGCCUGUUAUCUACAGUACUUGCCUGUAAUUUAGAGUACUUGCCUGUUAUUUACAGUACUUGCCUGUUAUUUACAGUACUUGCCUGUUAUCUACAGUACUUGCCUGUAAUUUAGAGUACUUGCCUGUAAUUUAGAGUACUUGCCUGUAAUUUAGAGUACUUGCCUGUUAUGUACAGUACUUGCCUGUUAUUUACAGUACUUGCCUGUUAUUUACAGUACUUGCCUGUUAUUUACAGUACUUGCCUGUUAUCUACAGUACUUGCCUGUUAUCUACAGUACUUGCCUGUUAUCUACAGUACUUGCCUGUUAUUUACAGUACUUGCCUGUUAUCUACAGUACUUGCCUGUUAUUUACAGUACUUGCCUGUUAUUUACAGUACUUGCCUGCUAUCUACAGUACUUGCCUGUUAUUUACAGUACUUGCCUGUUAUCUACAGUACUUGCCUGUUAUUUACAGUACUUCCAUGUUAGUGUUUUUAGUGUGAAACAGGGCUAAAUGCCGUCUGUUGUUGCUAUGCCAUCGGUUGUCCCAAACACUGGUUCUUUUGGUACAAAAGCUAUUACUGACUGGAGGAGAUGCACACUGGCGCGUUACUGACUGGAGGAGAUGCACACUCGCGUUACUGACUGGAGGAGAUGCACACUCGCGUUACUGACUGGAGGAGAUGCACACUGGCGCGUUACUGACUGGAGGAGAUGCA